CCUACGGGAGGCAGCAGUGGGGGAUAUUGCACAAUGGGGGGAACCCUGAUGCAGCGACGCCGCGUGGGUGAAGGAGUGCUUCGGCAUGUAAAGCCCUAUCGGCAGGGAAGAAGCAAGACGGUACCUGACUAAGAAGCCCCGGCAAACUACGUGCCAGCAGCCGCGGUAAUACGUAGGGGGCGAGCGUGAUCCGGAUCCACGGGGUGUAAAGGGAGCGUAGACGGCCAUGCAAUCGAGGGGUGAAAGCCCGGGGCCCAACCCCGGGACUGCCCUUGGAACUGUGCGGCUAGAGUGCGGGAGGGGCAGGCGGAAUUCCUGGUGUAGCGGUGAAAUGCGUAGAUAUCAGGAGGAACACCGGCGGCGAAGGCGGCCCGCUGGACCGCGACUGACGUUGAGGCUCGAAAGCGUGGGGAGCGAACAGGAUUAGAUACCCCAGUAGUC
rnacentral:rRNA from 1 species